UAGUAAUGUAUCCGUCCCUUCGGGGCAGUGGAGACAGGUGGUGCAUGGUUGUCGUCAGCUCGUGUCGUGAGAUGUUGGGUUAAGUCCCGCAACGAGCGCAACCCUUACCUUCAGUAGCCAGCACAUAAUGGUGGGCACUCUGGAGGGACUGCCGGGGACAACCCGGAGGAAGGUGGGGACGACGUCAAAUCAUCAUGCCCCUUAUGGCCUGGGCUACACACGUGCUACAAUGGCGUAAACAGAGGGAGGCAGCCCCGCGAGGGUGAGCAAACCCCAAAAAUAACGUCCCAGUUCGGAUUGCAGUCUGCAACUCGACUGCAUGAAGCUGGAAUCGCUAGUAAUCGCGGAUCAGAAUGCCGCGGUGAAUACGUUCCCGGGUCUUGUACACACCGCCCGUCACACCAUGGGAGUUGGUAACGCCCGAAGUCAGUGACCUAACCGAAAGGGAGGAGCUGCCGAAGGUGGGACCAGUGACUGGGGUGAAGUCGUAACAAGGUAGCCGUAUCGGAAGGUGC
rnacentral:rRNA from 1 species